AUACUUACCUGGCAGGGGAGAUACCAUGAUCACGAAGGUGGUUUUCCCAGGGUGAGGCUUAUCCAUUGCACUCCGGAUGUGCUGACCCCUGCGAUUUCCCCAAAUGCAGGAAACUCGACUGCAUAAUUUGUGGUAGUGGAGGACUGCGUUCGCACUCUCCCC
rnacentral:snRNA from 1 species